ACCGUAGGAGGCAAGCGUUAUCCGAAUUUACUGGGCGUAAAGCGCGUGCAGGCGGCUCGGUAAGUUGGAUGUGAAAUCUCCUGGCUCAACUGGGAGAGGUCGUUCAAUACUGUCGGACUAGAGGAUGGCAGAGGGAGGUGGAAUUCCCGGUGUAGUGGUGAAAUGCGUAGAUAUCGGGAGGAACACCAGUGGCGAAGGCGGCCUCCUGGACCAUUCCUGACGCUCAGACGCGAAAGCUAGGGGAGAGAACGGG
rnacentral:rRNA from 1 species